rnacentral:rRNA from 1 species
AACGAACGCUGGCGGCAUGCCUAACACAUGCAAGUCGAACGAGACCUUCGGGUCUAGUGGCGCACGGGUGCGUAACGCGUGGGAACCUGCCCUUAGGUUCGGAAUAACUCCCCGAAAGGGGUGCUAAUACCGGAUAAUGUCUUCGGACCAAAGAUUUAUCGCCUUUGGAUGGGCCCGCGUUGGAUUAGCUAGUUGGUAGGGUAAAAGCCUACCAAGGCGACGAUCCAUAGCUGUUCUGAGAGGAUGAUCAGCCACACUGGGACUGAGACACGGCCCAGACUCCUACGGGAAGCAGCAGUGGGGAAUAUUGGACAAUGGGCGAAAGCCUGAUCCAGCAAUGCCGCGUGAGUGAUGAAGGCCUUAGGGUUGUAAAGCUCUUUUACCCGGGAUGAUAAUGACAGUACCGGGAGAAUAAGCUCCGGCUAACUCCGUG